ensembl:lncRNA
GUGAGGAGCGGGCCGCGCCGCCCUUUGUUACCGCCGGGGACCCGCGCCCGCCCGCAGCCCCCGAAGGCCCGGGGACGUCCGCCCUCCCGCGGCGCCUCCCACCCGGCCGAGGCCGACCCCGCCUCCGGCUGGCCGGCGCGCGGCCAGAGCGAGUGAGGGGUCCAGCGGCCCGGCCAGCGGCGGAUCCACCCUAGGCCACCGCGCCCCGCCAGCCCUCCUCACCUUCCCGGGCUUCCCGCGCCCCGACCGGCCGCUCCCCCGGCCCGCGGCUCAGCGACCAGCUCCGCCGCGCGCGGCCCCUCGGCGCCUCUCCCCGCGGGCCGCCGGCCGGGCCCGGGAGGCUCACUUCGCCCUCACCUGGGGCGCGCACGGGUCCCCUCCCCUCGCCGGCCCGCGGCGGUCGGGAGCUGGCGCCCUCUGCCGGGCCACCGCGCCGGAGCACCCGGGACCCCGGGGACGGGCGGCCAGGCAGGGACGGCGCCCCCGCCGAGGUCACCUGCUGCCAGCCCGGCCUGCGGCCAGGUCCGGGCCGAGGGACCCAGCUGUGCCAACGCCCGGGCCCCGCGCCCCCCAGGAAGGCGCCAAGGAGGCCGGCAGCCCGGGCGCACCCGGCUUUCCAGCUUAACGUGUCCGUGUGGGAAGCCGCCUGACUCGAGGGAGGGUGCCCUUGCUCGUUGGCCCCCAGCACAGCGUUGCUGCCCACCUGCCGAUUGUCUGCAGGCCACAGCGAGGCCGGGUACUCUGAGGAGUUCCCGGGUGAUGCGCAGCAGUAUUGGAGACAACACAAGGUCAGAAAUACACAUUUGUUUGGGCAGCAUCAAUUUCCAUGAAUCAGGAUGAUAGGAACCACUAAGGCUCUCUGACGGUGCCCAUGUUCCUGAUCUGUUUUUGAGAACACUGCUCAGAACACUGAAUGGAUUCACCUGCACUUUUCUCUACACAGCGCCUACUGAGUGGAGGUGAUGCGUGAAGAGUCAACCUCCCCUUGUGGACAAAUGGCACACAGCCGACUUUGCCAAGACUGACACGUAUCAGGCAGGACCGAGGGAGUUUGGAACAGUGUGCCCUCCUGCAAGUGCAUGAUCUAGUCCAAAAGCCACCGCAUCGGUGAAGCUCUGCUCCACAUUGAGAUCCUACUCAGGAGUCAGCCACGGACAUGGAGCCAAGUGGUCCUUCUUGUGUUCCCUUAAACAUAAACACAUCCAGAGAGCCUUUUCCCACAGAAAUAUGCCAUGCAGGCACUCUGUUUCUGCAGAAUCCCACUUUGGAUUUAUUAAACUAAAUAAAGAUGCUUGGUCCCUAGGGCUUAUAUCUGAAGCUUAGCCUCCCCACCAGCCCAUUGCUCAGAAACAGAGCCCCUUACUCCAGAAGAGUGUUAACAGUAUUUUCAUCUUACAGCAGCCCUGCGAGAUGGGUAUGACUAUUCUUCCCAUUUUGAGCUAGAGAGAGAGAGGAUGCAGUGGAAGCCAAAGCUUACACUGAAGUCCAGCUUGCCUGGGUUUGAAUCCCAGCCUUGCCACUCACUACCUGUGUGACUGGGGUUUUUGUUUUUGUUAUUUUCAAACAUAUUUACGGGGCCUGUUGUUAUCUUGUGUGCAG